rnacentral:rRNA from 1 species
GCAGUCGAACGGAAGGCCCUGCUUUUGUGGGGUGCUCGAGUGGCGAACGGGUGAGUAACACGUGAGUAACCUGCCCUUGACUUUGGGAUAACUUCAGGAAACUGGGGCUAAUACCGGAUAGGAGCUCCUGCUGCAUGGUGGGGGUUGGAAAGUUUCGGCGGUUGGGGAUGGACUCGCGGCUUAUCAGCUUGUUGGUGGGGUAGUGGCUUACCAAGGCUUUGACGGGUAGCCGGCCUGAGAGGGUGACCGGCCACAUUGGGACUGAGAUACGGCCCAGACUCCUACGGGAGGCAGCAGUGGGGAAUAUUGCACAAUGGGCGGAAGCCUGAUGCAGCAACGCCGCGUGCGGGAUGACGGCCUUCGGGUUGUAAACCGCUUUCGCCUGUGACGAAGCGUGAGUGACGGUAAUGGGUAAAGAAGCACCGGCUAACUACGUGCCAGCAGCCGCGGUGAUACGUAGGGUGCGAGCGUUGUCCGGAUUUAUUGGGCGUAAAGGGCUCGUAGGUGGUUGAUCGCGUCGGAAGUGUAAUCUUGGGGCUUAACCCUGAGCGUGCUUUCGAUACGGGUUGACUUGAGGAAGGUAGGGGAGAAUGGAAUUCCUGGUGGAGCGGUGGAAUGCGCAGAUAUCAGGAGGAACACCAGUGGCGAAGGCGGUUCUCUGGGCCUUUCCUGACGCUGAGGAGCGAAAGCGUGGGGAGCGAACAGGCUUAGAUACCCUGGUAGUCCACGCUGUAAACGGUGGGUACUAGGUGUGGGGUCCAUUCCACGGGUUCCGUGCCGUAGCUAACGCUUUAAGUACCCCGCCUGGGGAGUACGGCCGCAAGGCUAA